rnacentral:rRNA from 1 species
UACGAAGGGGGCUAACGUUGCUCGGAAUCACUGGGCGUAAAGCGCACGUAGGCGGCUUGUUAAGUCAGGGGUGAAAUCCUGGAGCUCAACUCCAGAACUGCCUCUGAUACUGGCGAGCUUGAGUCCGGGAGAGGUGAGUGGAACUGCGAGUGUAGAGGUGAAAUUCGUAGAUAUUCGCAAGAACACCAGUGGCGAAGGCGGCUCACUGGCCCGGUACUGACGCUGAGGUGCGAAAGCGUGGGGAGCAAACAGG